AUUGAACGCUGGCGGCAGGCCUAACACAUGCAAGUCGAACGAGUGGCGGACGGGUGAGUAAUGUCUGGGAAACCGCCCGAUGGAGGGGGAUAUCUACUGGAAACGGUAGCUAAUACCGCAUACUAUCGUAUGUGCCCAGAUGGGUUUAGCUAGUAGGUGGGGUAACGGCUCACCUAGGCCACGAUCCCUAGCUGGUCUGAGAGGAUGACCAGACACACUGGGACUGAGACACGGUCCAGACUCCUACGGGAGGCAGCAGUGGGGAAUAUUGCACAAUGGGCGAAAGCCUGAUGCAGCCAUGCCGCGUGUAUGAAGAAGGCCUUCGGGUUGUAAAGUACUUUCAGUGGGGAGGCGUUACCCACAGAAGAAGCACCGGCUAACUACGUGCCAGCAGCCGCGGUAAUAC
rnacentral:rRNA from 1 species